CAAUCUUUAUAAUUCUAGGAAUAACCCGUUGGUCGGAGGAGACGUGUUAUGCUUUCUACACUAGCCGCGUCAAUUAUUAUUGUCAAGUCUUUUACCAAUCUUCAUUGACAGAAAUACACCAUGAAUUCCGAUAUAAGACUGGUGUUACUGGGAAAGACAGGUGCAGGCAAAAGUUCACUGGGAAACAGUUUACUUUGGAGAAAAGAGUUUAAAUCCUCCCCGCUACAGAUCACAAAUACCUCCAAACCAGAAUGUCGACGUGGAUCGACUCAACUUGUGGAUGGAACCAAACUAGUUAUUGUUGAUACACCUGGAAUUGCUGAUACUAAAGUGUCUACCAUGGACACAUUUGACGAACUUACACGAUGUAUAGAGCUUUCGCACCCAGGUCCCCACGCAUUCCUGUUAGUCCUGAAGAUUGAUAGAUUUACACAGGAAGAGAUGGACACAAUCAAACACCUCAAAUAUUGGUUUGGGCAGGAUAUCAUGAAAUACGCAAUUUUCGUUUUCACCGGUAAAGAUUCGCUGAAUUAUGCUGGUUUAUUAAUUAACGAGCAUGUUCAGAACAGUCCAACUGAACUGAAAGACCUUAUAGCGGAAGCAGGCGGACGUUUUACAGCAAUCAACACUCGGGGUCGUGGCCCUGAACUUGAAAUAGAUGUUAACACCAUAAUGACUCUAGUGAAACAAACCAUGCGGGUUAACAACGAUCAACAUUACACCCAACAAAUGUACAGCCAGGCUGUGAAGGCGCGGAAAGGACAAACGAAUCUGGUGGAAGACGAGGAGUUUCAAGAUAUAAAGGAUUUGCGAUUACGGGAGAUAGCGAAAAAGUACAAGAGACAAGGUGUUGAACGAGGACCAAAUAUUGUAACUUGGUUUCUUAAAUGCUGUAGAUAUCUCUAUCGGGCAGUAGGAUAUGUGUCAAAAACUAUUUUUACAUGUUGGACCAAUACCGCUACUUUUCUUGUUGUUCUUCUUAUUCUUGGUUUUGGGGUGACGAUGCUCUUCAGAAAGCCCGGUCGAAAUGAAAAUUAGCGUGCGUCUUCUUUGCACAAUUCUGCAUCGAUUUAGUGAAUUAGAUUUUUGAAUUUCAUCCAACAACAAGGUCGUUCCUUGUCCAUAGUACGAUCGUACUUGUUUUAUUCAAUGCUGUACAUGGUUAGUAAGAUACUUGGUUUAUUCAAUGCUGUAACAUGGUUAGUAAGAUACUUUGGAUUUUAUUUAUGCUGUAAAAAUUUCAACGCAAUGACGGAAUGAAAUGUGCUGAUAUGAGAAUAUUUUCAAAAUUUCAUCAUUCAAUCCGCCUUUCGGCCGACGAUCACCAAGGAUUGCAACACACGUCGUACAAGUUACUGCAUGGAUAGCCAGCACAAGCGCCCGACGAGAGCAGUCAGUGAUAUAAUAUACUCAGAUUUUACUUUGGAAAGGUUAAAAGAUAACACUGAAAUGAGUUUGAAUUACUACCAUUAUGUACAAAACGUUUUGAUGAAUACAUUCAACAAAUAUGUUGACAUUGGGUCGCCCUGUCUAACGCCGCAUUAUAUUGUUGAUAUAGUUUGUAGCGUAGCCUUGAUUUAUAAACGCACAUUUUUUGUUGCUGUACAAUGUUUUGAUCCACCUUGUACUAUGGAAUCUAAUGCUUUAGUGAAGUCGAUAGGCAGGAAAAAGCUAAUAAUUGUCCGUUGCUGCUCAACGCUCAUUCAUGAUUUGAUUAUAAAAUGGAUAAUCGAGACUGUCGUUUAUCGUACUGACUUUAGUAAUUAUGAUCGAGGCUAGGCCUUAAAGUUCAAUCACUAAUACUCGGUUCAGAGUGGAAUUAAUUUGAUUGAACUCUUCAGCACAUUUCCUUUACAUUAUCUAGUACAUGUAUUUUAACUAUUAUAGUGAGAACUGUCAGCUUUUACUCUAAUCUCCCAUAAAGUAUCUUUAAACCAGCUAACUCGCUAAUAUUUGGGACCUAGAAAUUGACACAAAUGGUUCGCAAUGCAUAUAAGAAUAUAAUAUGAAUGCAUAUAAACUGACUUACAUUCAAUCGUUUCUGCUUUUAUUGUAAUUUCUAAUCAGUUAUGUUCGGCGAAAUACGCCAGAGGUUUCAAUCGAAUGGCAAUCUGUAGCGUCUGUUUAUUCCAGUCUACAUCGAUAAAAUUUAUUAGGCAUGUUCUCCAGAAUAUGGCGUCACUGUUUGACAUGAAUUGUGGAAUCUGUCUAGUCUCGUUCCUCGCGCCCCUUGUUACAAAUGGCGCUGAAACACAUUGUACACGAUUCGUGUAUCAAUGGUAAAAUGUUUAUUUUGUCUUAAAUACUGGAUAUCACAUUGUACAAGAUUCGUGUAUCAAUGGUAAAAUGUUUAUUUUGUCUUAAAUACUGGAUAUCAGAUGCCCAUAUUUUCUCGGUAAGAUCACAACAUCAAUGAUGAUUUAAAUUGACAAAUAAUUCGUGUUUCAUUGUCAAAGACUUUGGAUGAUAUUGAGUUAAGAGUUUUAGCAACUUCAAUGUAACAGCGGCCUGUUGUAAUGUUGUAUUUUUAGCUCUUAUUAAAGCGAAUACACAUGUAUGACUACACAAGGUUUCCAGUCAACAUUAUAAUUUAAAUCUAUAAAUGGAACAAAUCAAAACAUGUAAAGACAAAUAUAUAAAAUA